CCUACGGGAGGCUGCAGUGAGGAAUAUUGGUCAAUGGACGAGAGUCUGAACCAGCCAAGUCGCGUGAAGGAUGACUGUCCUGUGGGUUGUAAACCUCUUUUAUAUGGGAAUAAAACCGUGUAUGCAUCCCCUUUUGUAUGUACCAUAUGAAUAAGGAUCGGCUAACUCCGUGCCAGCAGCCGCGGUAAUACGGAGGAUCCGAGCGUUAUCCGGAUUUAUUGGGUUUAAAGGGUGCGUAGGUGGAUUGUUAAGUCAGUUGUGAAAGUUUGCGGCUCAACCGUAAAAUUGCAGUUGAAACUGGCAGUCGUGAGUACAGUAGAGGUGGGCGGAAUUCGUGGUGUAGCGGUGAAAUGCUUAGAUAUCACGAAGAACUCCGAUUGCGAAGGCAGCUCACUGGACUGCAACUGACACUGAGGCUCGAAAGUGUGGGUAUCAAACAGGAUUAGAUACCCCAGUAGUC
rnacentral:rRNA from 1 species